CAAUAGCGUAUAUUAAAGUUGUUGCGGUAAAAAAGCUCGUAGUUGGAUUUCUGUUGAGAGCGACCGGUCCAUACCAUGUAUGCGUAUCUGGCUUGCUCUCGGCAUCCUCUCGAUAGACGUUACUGCGCUUGAUUGCGUGGUGCGGAUCUCGGGACUUUUACUUUGAGGAAAAUAGAGUGUUCACGGCAGGCUUUCGCCAGAAUACAUUAGCAUGGAAUAAUACUAUAGGAUCUUGGUUCUAUUUUGUUGGUUUCUAGAAUUGAGAUAAUGAUUAAUAGGGACAAUUGGGGGCAUUCGUAUCAACACGUCAGAGGUGGAAUUCUUGGAUUGUGUUGCGACGAACUACUGCGAAAGCAUUUGCCAAGGAUGUUUUCAUUGA
rnacentral:rRNA from 1 species